CGGCGUCCUAACACAUGCAAGUCGAGCGAGGAACUUCGGUUCCUAGCGGCGGACGGGUGAGUAACACGUGGGUAACCUGCCUCAUAGAGGGGAAUAGCCUCCCGAAAGGGAGAUUAAUACCGCAUAACACUGCGGUUUCGCAUGAAACUGCAGUUAAAGGAGCAAUCCGCUAUGAGAUGGACCCGCGGCGCAUUAGCUAGUUGGUGAGGUAAAGGCUCACCAAGGCCACGAUGCGUAGCCGACCUGAGAGGGUGAUCGGCCACAUUGGAACUGAGACACGGUCCAGACUCCUACGGGAGGCAGCAGUGGGGAAUAUUGCACAAUGGGCGAAAGCCUGAUGCAGCAGACGCCGCGUGGAGGAUGAAUGCCUUCGGGUUGUAACUCUUGUCUUCUGGGACGAUAAUGACGGUACCAGAGGAGGAAGCCACGGCUACUACGUGCCAGCAGCGCGGUAUACGUAGGUGGCGAGCGUUGUCCGGAUUUACCUGGGCGUAAGGAUGCGUAGCGGAUAUUAAUGGGAUGUGAAAUACCUGGCCUACCCUGGUGCUGCAUCAAACUGGUAUCUAUGAGUGCGGAAGAAGUGAUUCUA
rnacentral:rRNA from 1 species